rnacentral:rRNA from 1 species
GUGGGGAAUAUUGGGCAAUGGGGGAAACCCUGACCCAGCGACGCCGCGUGAGGGAAGAAGGCCUUAGGGUCGUAAACCUCUGUUGUGUGGGAAGAAGAGCGUGACGGUACCACACGAGGAAGUCCCGGCUAACUACGUGCCAGCAGCCGCGGUAAUACGUAGGGGACGAGCGUUGUCCGGAUUUACUGGGCGUAAAGGGCGCGUAGGCGGUCAUUUAAGUCAGCUGUGAAAUGGUUUGGCUUAACCGGAUCAUGCGGUUGAAACUGGAUGACUGGAGUGCUGGAGAGGCAAGUGGAAUUCCCAGGGUAGCGGUGAAAUGCGUAGAUAUUGGGAAGAACACCGGUGGCGAAGGCGACUUGCUGGCCAGCAACUGACGCUGAGGCGCGAAAGCCAGGGGAGCAAACGGGAUUAGAUACCCUUGUAGUCC